GAGACGGGUGAGGGAAGGAAUGUUUUCCAGUAUGUGAAGGGGGAUCAGCCAGUGGGGACUGGAAACCUGGACUUGAUUCCCAGACUUGUUGAAAACUCACCUUGACCUUGGACAAGUCACUAAAUCCCUCUAUGGCCAAGUUUCUUGUGUGAAUCAUGCUAGUCCGACACCAGGCUUAUUGGGAGGAUGAAUAUGAGAUGACCGGUAAGGGGAUCUCAACCCUUGGCUUGGUGUUGUCAGCACCACGCUCAUCCAGUGAGCCAACCAGCCAUCCAUAUAUAGGAUCCGAACCUGUGACCUUGCUGUUAUCAGCACUGCACUCUCCCGAGUGAGCCGUGGGCCGGCCCUUGAUGUAUUUGGAAGAAGUCAUCAUGAAUGUGACAAAGACUUAGCUACAGAGAAGUUUAUCAAUG